rnacentral:misc_RNA from 1 species
CCAAACGGAGCCAUAAUCUCCACUGGAUAUGCUUCCUUAGAUGCCUUGAAAACCAACGUUUCCCAGCCAAUUAAACUUGGUAGUUAGUAUAAAUAUGUCUUGAUGCAAGCCCUAUAGCAGAGUAGUUUAUAUUUCAAAUCCAGACAAAAUCUUCUACCAUAAAAAUUGGCCUCCCUGGCAGCAGCCUGUAGACAGCAAAAUAACAUCAUCCACGAGAUUCCAGUCAAAAGAGGAUAUUGGAAACUGUCCACCUCAGCCUUGAAAAUCAAAAUGCAGUUCAGUAAAGCAUCGUGUAUUGGAAACUGUCCACCUCAGCCUUGAAAAUCAAAAUGCAGUUCAGUAAAGCAUCGUGUAUUGGAAACUGUCCACCUCAGCCUUGAAAAUCAAAAUGCAGUUCAGUAAAGCAUCGUGCUGCUUUAGAGUUGAGCCAUAGAAUUUCGUUCAACAAAACUCAAGGGUUCAUAUUUUCUUUGAUUUGAUGUUUUGUUGGCGCCUUCUCAAUGAUCUGUGUCAGCAUACAGAACAUGAAGAUUUUAAUUGUAGAGAACUUAAAACAAGUGCCAGCAUAAGGACUACCUGAGUGAUGCAGUCACCGUUUUUGCUGGCUUCAUCCUUCCUUGCCGAAAAAGAAUCAAGUCUCUCACUGGAUCUAAUAGAACAACUCUUUUGCUCCUCAUGCUCAUUCUGAUAAUCAAGAUUAUGUAAAAUUGUCAUA